rnacentral:rRNA from 1 species
UGGAUCACUUGGUUCGUGGGUCGAUGAAGAUCGCAGUGAAUUGCGAUAAUAAAUAUGAAUUACAGAUAUUUAGAAUACAGUGUUAUCGAAUGCAUAUUGCG